UACGGAGGGGGCUAGCGUUGUUCGGAAUUACUGGGCGUAAAGCGCACGUAGGCGGCUUUGUAAGUUAGAGGUGAAAGCCCGGGGCUCAACUCCGGAACUGCCUUUAAGACUGCAUCGCUAGAAUUGUGGAGAGGUGAGUGGAAUUCCGAGUGUAGAGGUGAAAUUCGUAGAUAUUCGGAGGAACACCGAUGGCGAAGGCAGGUCUCUGGGCCACUACUGACGCUGAGAAGCGAAAGCAUGGGGAGCGAACAGG
rnacentral:rRNA from 1 species